rnacentral:lncRNA from 1 species
AAUACAUAAACAGCAAUCAGGAAGGACCUUAUUUGCAUGCUAACACUUGUACACUUUUUCUAGCCUUUGUCAACCAGAGUCUGGAAAAGAAUUAAGUUCUAAGAUCCUAAGGGAUCCAUUAAUUUCUCUUCGGGAGGUGCUGAGAUUCCGGGGCCCGGCGGCCGUGGGCAGCGGGUGCCCGUUAGGAACCGGGCAGUCGGCCUCCUCUCGUUACCCUUUGGGGGUUCUUUUUGUAAUAGAAGCAGAAACGAGACCCCAGCAGUCUGUAAACCCGGGCCAAGCCGGCGUGGUACAACCACAAAGUGCUACUCUCCAGCGCCAGAGGAGGCCCGAGGCCCUGAGGUUCCCAGCCCCGAGGUUCGAGGUUCGAGGUUCACCUCAGAACCCCAAGCUUCCCUCGAAGGAUGGGAGCCUAAAUCAAAAAGCAAAUUUAAAUCUUGCAAUCACUGCUGGGAAGUGAGCUGUAUCAUCCUGAGAAAUCAGACCAUAGAGACAGGCCUGCAGCUGGCAGCCUGGGUCAUCUUUAAUCGCUUAACCCUUCAUAUCAAAGAACGGCUUGUAGCAGCGGAUUCCUUCUCCAGAAUUUCCCAUGGCAGAUUUUCUCAAGGAAAAGCUGAACUUUUUGCUAAAGACUGUCAUCUGCUCUGUGCUAUGGGACAUUGGAGAAGGAUCUCUUCUAGACUCACGCAGAGAGAGAAGAGGAAGUGGAGCCUGGCCAGGGUGGACUCUUACCAGGUCCAUUUGCAGUAAAGAUGGCAGCCAGAAGGGGAUGAGCAGGAGGACGUGGACCUGGUCCUUGGUGUUGUUAAAGCAGCCUUGCCUGUGAGGAACACUAGUUGCUGUAAGGAGCGGCAGGGAGGGACUGUGAGGGUAUUAGUGCUUGCCUGGAAAUGAUCAUAACUAGAGUUGUCAAUUUAAUUUUACUUAGGCAAGACUAACCAGAUUGGAAGACAUGUAAGUUAUAAAUAUUUUAAAUAAGCAUUAUUAAUUAUAUCAAUGGGAGUCUUUUAUCCUUUUCUGACAACAUGAUCAGCCAAAUAUGGUUGAAAUGUGUUCCUGUUUUCUGUGAACUGUAUGGUUCUCAGUUUUCUCUUAUUUGUAGAGUUUGCUAUAAUAUAAUGUUAGAUGAGCAUGUGCAUUUGUUGUAUCUUAAUUGUGGAUUACACUCCUAAUCAAUCUAAAAUGCCCUUCUUGGCCUAUUUAAUACAUUGUUUGUAAUUUCUGUCCCAGUUUCCUUUUUGUGUGCAUAUAUCUUAGCUAAGCAUUUAACCUUUAUUACUGACCUUUUUGUUGGAAUUGUAGGUUGUGUAUUUUGUAUUUUGACCAAGCAUAAAAAGACUUUGUUAAUCAGGGAGAUAAUUACACUAAUAGUGAUUUUCAAAACUGGUACUUGUGGUGCACAUUGCUGUUCCUGCCCAGGAUCUGUUCCCACCAGCUUUGCUGGAAACAAAUCCAGCAUUUGCAGGAGCUCUCCUGGCAAAUCAGCAGAACCUAUUGUCAUUCCAUCUCCCAAGAUGGAUUGAUUGGCCUAAGUGUCAUGCCAACAAUUGGCUCAGAAUGGGCAAGGAACUCAGCUGGGAGAAUGGAAACAAUUUGGGGGAUUUCCGGAGAUAAUGUCUUUGCUCUUAAGAAAGCCAUAGGAGAGUGUUCUCUCUUCUGCUGAGUCUUAUCACAACUGGACACUGCUCCUGGAAAUGUGAUAUACAGCAAUCUUGCUGGCUGCUGGUGGAUGAAGUCUUCACAAAGAUGGCAGAGAAACAAGUUGAGAAAAAUCUGAGCUCUUGAACAUAUAUAUCAAUUAUCUUCUGACUCAAUUUCUCAGUGGCUUUUGUAUAUCUUGUGUUCCUGUUGUGUAAAAUUAGCCAGUUCUUUACUAUUGUUUAAAUCAGGGUUUUAGCUACUUAUGACAAGCACCUAAUCAACUCAAAAUGUUCAUUUUAUGUUAACUUUUAAUCUCCUAUCCUUUAUUUUAUGUUUUUAAUGUAUUAUUUCUCUUUGGUUGUCCAUCACUUUAAUAUAGAUUAUAUUUGAUUUCCUUUUGUUUUCUCCUGAGAAUUGCUAAAUAUGCAACCUAUGUUUAAUUCUACUAAAAGUUGAGUGGCUUAAAAUAUACUGGAGCCUAUAUUUUUAGAAGUAAAAACAUCACUAUAAAGCUUAAUGAGUUCUUCAUAUAUACCAUGCCAGUGUGCUAAACAAGAUAUGUAUAUUCAUUCAUUUGGUCUUCACUAUAGGACUCAGAAAUACAUAAAGUCAAAGUACCUUGCCCAUGUAAAGGGGAAACUCAAUUGCCUUCUCUACAGAUAAAAAAAUUAGUAGUUUUUUUUAUGCCAUGUCCUUAGCUCUCCAUUCACUUCCAGAUUUUUGUGUCUACUGGAGAAUCUCAGAGCUGGAAAAUUAAUAAUUAAUUAUUUUAUAUUAUGUAUUUUUUCAACGAAAAAUAUUUUCAUUUGGUUUCAAAUCCACAUUUCCUUCAACCAUUUGGAUUGAAUUCUACAUUUAAAUACUUUUGGUACUCACCUUUAUUGCAUUUAAACUCUGAUCUUUUAUUCUAAAUUCAUUGUUAGAUAUAACUCAUGUUUUGGGGCAGUUUUAUUCUGAAGCUAAGUUGUUUUUGAAUAGUUAUCAUAUAAUAAUCAUUUGGUUGUUUAUAGAAAUUCCUCAAAAUUCUAUGUGUUUUUUUAAUGUCUUUUUAUAUUUAGUGCUCUGUAGAUGUUUAAGCCUGUCCCUCCCUCCCUCCCUUCCUCCCUCUCUCCUUCUUUCUCUCAUAGUCUUUCUGGUUCAUUUUUACCCACAUUUUGUUAGUGUCUUAGUCAUUUUCUUGUUACUGAGACACAAUACCAACACAAUUUAAAGGAGGAGAGGUUUAUUUUGGCUCACAGUUUGUAGAAGUUUCAGUCCACUUUCAGCUGGCUGUAAGGGAGGGUAGCAUGAGAAACAGCUCAUGGCAUGGCAGACAGGAGGCAGAGAGAGUGAAGGGAGGAUCAAGGGAGGAGAUAUGCCCUUCUAGGCCAUGCCCCCAGUGACCUUCCUUCUUUGACCAGCCUGUCCUCCUCAAGAUCACAUUAGGUCUCACCCACUGCUGAAUAUCACACCUCCAUGACCCAAUCACCUUCCUAAAGCCCCCUCUAUGAGCACGUGAAGCUUUCAUGGGACAUCUAGCUAUGAACAAUAGCAGUGAUUUUUUUUACACAGUUAAUUUCCCAUUGCACAAGUAUUUCCUAAAAAUAUCCUCUUUCCAAAUAAUAAAACCACACAGAUUUUUUAGAAAAUCCUAUUUGAUCACCCAAUCUUGAGCUCAUACUCCUUCCCCAGAGAGAACUAUUGUGAUCACUUUGUAUAAAUCAUUCCAGAACGUUUCUAUGAACUUACAUAAAUAUACAGAUGGUCCCCAACUUACUAUGGUUUGACUUAUGAUUAUUCAACUUUAUAAUGGUAUAAAUAUGUACUGAAACAACCAUUCUGUUUUGUC